UGCCCACCGUGUCCCACUCUGGGCCAGAGCCUGCGCCUGCAGGGACGCGCUCCAGUGGCUUCCUGGAGGUGCCUCCUCACUCAGGCCUCACCGCAGCAUCUGGCAGGACCGCCAACACGUCCUUCCCCAGUCUCUGCCCCACCUGCCUUCUCGGCAGGGCUGUCUGCACGGCUCUGCCCGGGCUUCAGGCUCCAGGCUUCUGUCAAGGGGGUGGAGGACUCCUGACUGCAGGAUAGACACAGGCAGCUAUGGGCAGCUCACUGGAGUUAGGUCAGCGGUUCCCUGAGCCUGGGCCUCUGAAGGCAACGCUCAAGCCCUCCCCUCCCCUCAGUCUCCCACAGCAGCCUGCACCGGGGGCCUCUGGCCUGGACAGCCCCGAGCCUGCAUCAUGGAGUGGCAUGAUGAAUGAAGCUACAGCCGGCUGAAAUCAGGCUAAGAGUUGGGCAGACUCCAAGGAGCCCCUUGGGAGUUCCUGGGGGGUGGCCAAAAGUUGCAAACAGCUGCCCAGACAUCUGUCGGGGGGCGGGGAGGGCGGGGCCCAGGCAGGCUCAGGGAGGCAGGAGGAGGGAGCCUGAUGGGCCGUGGUGUGUGCCAUUCCCCCUGCCAGGAGCUCACCGGCCUCACCCAAGCUCGCAGCAUUGUGCCGGGAAAGGAUGUUCUCGGCUCCGGCCUUUUUCCUCCUCUCCUGGGGACAGAACAUGGAUCCUGGAAGGCAUUGAGGACCCUGUGCUCAGCCCCUGCCCAUCCCUUCCACCACUUAUCUGUCCUGUAGGCACACUGACGCGGCUUUCACAAAAUGGGAGGCUCUGAGAGGGAACAUCUCCCUGGAUCCCCUCUCUUCCAAUGGACCUGUGCUAUGGUCUGAAAGUUUGUGUCUCCUGGAAAUUCAUAUGUUGAGAACUAACCCCAAGGCAAUGAGGCCCCAGAGGCUGCCUUGUCCUUUCCACCUCAUGGGACACAGCAAGAAGGAGCCGUCUGUGAACCAGGAAGCAGGCCCUCACCAAACCUGCUGCCAUCUUGAUUUUGGACUUCCAGCUUCCAGAGCUGUAAUAAAGAAACUUCUGUUGUUUAUAA
rnacentral:lncRNA from 10 species